CUCUGUGAGGCUGUCUGGAGUUCUUCCAGGGCAGGAAUGCGGGCAGCCGUGGUGUGUUGUGCUGGCUUGCUCUUCCCUCGCAAUUCUAACUGUACGCAUCAGCACUGCUCGCCUGCACAAGGCCUGCUCCACACACCGAAAGAAAAUCUGUUCACAUGCAUCUCACAGAGAGGAAAAACUGCUCUGAUGUGGAAGCUGCACCUGUGGUGGAAGAAGUGGAAUAAAAGCGGUUCUAUUCGACGUAUAAAGCUGCUUCAGAACGUGCAGCUUAAGAGUACAGCAUUCUGGUGAAA
rnacentral:lncRNA from 1 species